CAGGGAGGUAGGGAUGAGGGCAAGAUUUCAUGCACCAGCUGAAUUUUGUGUAGUGAUGGCUUUUUCUUGGGUUACGUCCUGCGUUUGCAGAGGAAUCAUCCAGGAGCAGCAGCCGGAGGAGAAAUUGGCGGAAGUGGACCUGAGCCACCUGGAAAUCCUUCUAAGCAGACAUGAACAGUCUUCAGCUUUCUGACUCCCACGUAACUGCCUCUGCGCUUCUAGAGGAAUCAUGGAGGAGCAGCAGCCGAAGGAGAAGGUGGCAGACGUGGACCUGAGCACUUGGACAUUGUUCUAAGCAGAGAUUAACAGUCCUCAGCUUUCUGCCUUGCACAUAACUGGCUGGCCCGAGGCAGCUGUCCUGAUUGGCCAGAGCUUCCUCGCGCCCGCUACAAAGAGGAACCACCGGAGCUUCCCUGGGCCCGGUACUGGGAGGAGCCGCCAGAACUCCCCCGCGCCCACUACGAAGAGGAGCUGUCGGAGCCUCCCUGUCCCUGCUGUUACCCGGAGGAGCCACCCGAGCACGCCUGGCCGGACUUCCCCGAGGAGCUGCCGGACCUGCCACCAAGCCCUGGCCUUGAGGAGCCUAUGCUGAUUGACUGGCCUGGACCCGGUGCCCUG